AACUUUAAAAAACGGAUCUCUUGGUUCUGGCAUCGAUGAAGAACAUCUUUAAAUGCGAUUGUAAUGUGAAUUGCAGAAUUCAGUGAAUCUGCUAAACUUUGAACGCACAUUGCGCCCGCCAGUAUUCGGGCGGGCAUGCCUGUCCAAGCGUCCUU
rnacentral:rRNA from 1 species